rnacentral:lncRNA from 10 species
UCUGGGCUAGAGAUGUAAAGGUGUGAGUCAUCAGCAUAAAGGUGAUAUUUAUAGUCAUGGGAUUAGGUGAGAUUCGGGACCAAGCUUAAACGUAAUCCAACAUUUGUAAGUUGGGUAGAGGGGACAGAGCCCCAAAGAAGACUGAUAAGAGGCCUGGCACAGUGGCUUAUCCCUGUAAUCCCAGCACUUUGGGAGGCCAAGAUGGGUGGAUCACUUGAGGUCAGAAGUUCAGACCAGACUGGCCAACAUGGUGAAACCCGAGGCUACUUGGGAGGCUGAGGCAGGAGAAUCCCUUGAGCCUAGGAGACAGAGGUUGCAGUGAGCCAAGAUUGUGCCACUGCACUCCAGCCUGGGCAACAGAGUGAGACUCUGUCUCAAAAUAAAUAAAUAAAUAAAUAAAUAAAUAAAUAAAUAAAUAGGAAAAUACAACAAGAUAGCCGAAUAGGAACAGCUCCGAUCUGCAGCUCCCAGCAAGAUCAACACAGAAGGCGGGUGAUUUCUGCAUUUCCAACUGAGGUACCUGGUUCAUC